rnacentral:tRNA from 1 species
ACCUGAGUGGCUGAGUCGGUUAAGUGUCUGACUCUUAGUUUCGGCUCAGGUCAUGAUCUCACGGUUUGUGGGUUCAAAGCCCCACAUCGGGUU